CUUCCUGUUGAGCUGGCUGUUUCAGGCCUCUCCCUUCUUCCAGAUACCCCCCACCUUUUCAAUGAACUGGUCAAACUACAACUCCAGUCAACCACAGGCAUUUUCUGGAGCAUCCACAAAGUUUGUUUAAAUGGAUUUGCAAAACAUCUGCAAAAAUGACUGCAUAUGGGAAGAAGCUAUAGAAAGCAGCUGGAACUGCUUGGAAUCUUGGGAAAACCACCUCCUGGAAGAGCAAACACUCCUACUGGAAUUAACUGUGAUAACUGCAAGGUUAAUAAUUAGCUUCAUUACUCAACUUGGUUGACAGACAUGGACAUCAAGAAUACUCUACCUUUCAAGAUUCUCCAUUCACAAUAUCAUCUGAAUAUCAAUUUUCAUGAAAAUGAAAAUCUCUCUCAUUUGCCCUUGCCUCAAAGGAAGCCACACUAUCCCUGGGAUUGCUCUGAAGAUGCUAACCAUAGCAUAUAAGUCAACAGUUCAAGUCCAAAAUCCAGGAAGCAUUCUUUACUGAAAGAAAAAAAAAUAAGGCACCAAACCUCAAAACAUUACCAAUACAAAGUUUUUUGAAAAGCAAGCCAACUUUUAUUAAGGGUACCUUCUAUGCCAUUCAAAUACAGUUACAAUCAUAUUUUCUUUCCAAACAACCACUACCUUGGAACUGGCAAAACAACCAGUUUUGUACAAAACUAUGCUUGUAAUUUAUUGUUUAUAAAUUAUUCAUGUUAUAAUAAAGUAAACCAAUGACACAG